rnacentral:rRNA from 1 species
CUGGCUCAGGAUGAACGCUAGCGGCAGGCUUAACACAUGCAAGUCGAGGGGCAGCGCGAGUAGCAAUACUUGGCGGCGACCGGCGCAAGGGUGCGUAACGCGUGAGCAACAUGCCCGUAUCAGGGGGAUAAUCCAGGGAAACUUGGUCUAAUACCCAUAGUAAUUUUGUAAGGCAUCUUAUAAGAUUUAAAGCUUUGGUGGAUACGGAUUGGCUCGCGUGACAUUAGCUGGAUGGUAAGGUAACGGCUUACCAUGGCUAUGAUGUCUAGGGGUUCUGAGAGGAAGGUCCCCCCACACUGGAACUGAGACACGGUCCAGACUCCUACGGGAGGCAGCAGUGAGGAAUAUUGGACAAUGGAUGGAAAUCUGAUCCAGCCAUGCCGCGUGAAGGAAGAAAGGUCCUAUGGAUUGUAAACUUCUUUUGUAUGGGAGCAAUAAGGCCUACGAGUAGGUUGAUGAGAGUACCAUACGAAUAAGCACCGGCUAACUCCGUGCCAGCAGCUGC